rnacentral:rRNA from 1 species
AUGCACGUCGUGGGAACCUACCAUGACGUACACAUACUUGAGCGCUU